UGUCUGUGCUCUGGGCCAGCGCUGGCGGCAGCUUCCUGGGAUGGGGACAGGGAUUCAAGGAACAGGGCGGGGGCGGGAGAGGGGUGUCGGUGAGGGAGCCUGCCCUUGAGAACCCCCAGGCCAGCCUUGGUUCUAACUUAAAUGGUGGAGGCCAGGGUUCUGGGAGCCUCUUUCUGCAGGGAAGCUGGGCAGCCCAGGCUAACCCCUCCAGCGGCAACCAUGUCAUGUCCUGCCCCUUCCCCAGGCCUUGGCGUUCAAGGGCGCCCCAGGCAGGACCCAGAGGUCAAGCUUGCAUUUCCUUUCUCUCUCAUGGAAACGUGUGCUUGGCUUCAGCUCCGCAGCCCACGGACCUGGGGCCACUCUUGGUCCUGAAGCCAUGCCCAGGAGCCGGUGCCUCGUCCAGACCUGCCGGCCAGCUCUGCCAGCGGCUCCCUGGGCCGAUGCGCAUAACCACGCGGGAUCAGCUGGCCUCCCAGGAAGGCGGCGGCAGCUUGGGCCUCACCAGGGACACGGCUUCUCACGGUAGAAGAUUUGUAUCGCAUUUUUGAAAAUCCACGCAUACUUCAAGGAACCUCUGGAUUGCUUCCCCGGCCAGGCUCCCGUGAACAAUGCUCUUCUGAACAUGGGUGAGUAGGUACAUUUGUGCGUGCGCACGUGUAUGCAAUCGAGCGUGUGCCGUGCACCCUGCCGAGGGGACACCCAGGUUGGUGAAGGAAUUAACAACCUGCCUCUAGGAAUUCCUCAGAGCAAACCGACUCCUUGCAGCAGCCCCAUUUCCCAGGCUUUUAAAACUGUUAUCAAAUUCAUAGCGCAUUCACACACAAUGGGAAUCGUCUUUUUAAAUAGUGUUUGGAAUGUCUCACUGAGUUCAAAAUAGUGAGCCUAUUUUAUUCAUGAAAUGGGUUUGCAGUUCAACCCUUUUUAUUAGCUUCCUAUGGUUAAGCUGCCAGUCAGACGUCCUCAGAGCCCGGGCAGUGGCAUUGGCCGUGCCCCGUGUUUGCAGGGACAAUGUCCCUCUUCAAGGGUAGCCUGCUUCAGUGUCGGGAAGGUGUUCAAGCGGUCGGAAUACAAAUACAUUUGUACUUUGACCCUGAACACAAAAACGCACGUAUGUAACCGAAACGAGCGUUUUCUAAAGCUGCACUUGACCUCAUUCCGUGAGGGGCGCGCAUACUUUCCGGCCGGUGCCACUCGACGUGAGGUCUGCGGACUGCUUGUUGCGAGCAGCGAGACCAUCGCGUGCAGGAACUCAGAGUUGGGGUUUAGCGCACGAAAAGAUGCUUGACGUCGUCAGCGAUCAAGGAAAUGCGAACACUGACCACGGUGAGAUGUCACCUCGCACCCGCUGGGACGGCCACGUAAUGAGUGUUGGUGACGGUGUGAAGAAAUGGAACCCUCAGACACUGCCGUGAGAAUGUGGAACGGAGCGGCUGCUAGGAAAACAGCAUGCUGGUUCCUUGAAAAGAAAGGAAGGAAGGAAGAAAGGGCAGAAGGGCCUUUCAGGGGUGAUGAGAAUGUCCUAGAAUUGGCUGUGGUGAUGGUGUACAGCUCUGUGAAUACACCGAACACCAUGGAAUUGUUCGCUUGAAAUGGGUGAGUUGUGUGCUAUGUGAGUUAUACCUCAAUAAAGCUGCUAACUAGCAGAGUGCUUUUAGGGACUGUCAUAGCAACUGGACAUUGCUGGGCCGUCCAAGAGCCUGGUCCUCCUUCUAGUGAUUCAUUCCUACUUUUUGACUGAGUGUGAUGAAAGCAUCAGUUGUGGCAUUGGAAUUUUUAAAAAAUGAAGCAGAUUGUCCAUGACAGAUCACGUGAAAGACAAUGUUCUAGUCAAUGUCAUGAUUAAAAUAAAUUCUAGCCUUAAAACACGAAGCUGAUUUCAUUACCCACUAAUGAGCUGUGACCUGCAGUUUGAAAAGUGCGGACAAGUUCAGCCCGGAGCACAGUAGCACCAGAUGCUCUGGGCAGCAUCUCCCAGCACCGAGGGUUUCCAUGGUGACACGGUUUCCUGUUCAGGGUUCUUAGCAAACCAUCAGAGAUGAGUGGAUAAACUAGAAAUCAUAACCCGUGAUCUGACUUCUGCCCCCUCCCCAGCCCCAUCCAUCACCAUGUCCCACCUAGGCCUCUGCUCCCAUCGUACCCGACAGCGUGCCUUCCAGAACUGGCCGUGUGAGCUUAGCCUUUGCAGGUGAAGUUCCCUCUGCUGGAAUGAUGGCAGUUCAGUGCCACCCACCUGCAAACACCAUGUUAUUCUCCGAGGUGCAACCCAGAUAUCAUCUUCCCUGUGCCCGGACCUGCUUCCUCUUUGGUCCUCUUUCCCCAAGUCCCCAAAAGCAAUCAUCACAUGACACGGCCAUCACGCGCCUGCACUGUCUAUCUCAGGAGACAGGAAACA